rnacentral:rRNA from 1 species
GACAGAGGUGCCGAGCGUUAGGCGGAAUCACUGGGCUCAAAGCGUGUGUAGGCGGGCGAUCAAGUACCUUGUGAAAUCCCACGGCUCAACCGUGGAACCGCUGGGUAUACUGGUUGUCUUGAGCCGGCUAGGGGCGAGCGGAUCAGACGGUGGAGCGGUGAAAUGCGUAGAUAUCGUCUGGAACGCCGAAGGUGAAAACAGCUCGCUGGGGCCGCGCUGACGCUGAGACACGAAAGCCAGGGGAGCGAACGGG